GCCCAUCGAUUCCAAAGUUAUCCAUACAUUCAAAGAAUGUGCUUGCACUAACAUAAACAGAUUAAAGCUUUGAAUUGUUGCCAAUCCCUAAACAACGACUUUUGAGUGUGACAAUAACAACAGUGAAGGGAUUUAGUAUCUUGCUGGAAAUGCCUAAAAAUCUUAUUGGUCCUUCUAGUUUACAGUGCUCACCUUGACAUUGUCUAAGCUUCAAGUAUCCAUCUGUUAUAUUACCAACAAAAGUACAUCUAUGUACAGACGCCUAAAACUCAAAAACUAAAUUCUUCUCUUCCCACGUCUUCUAUUAUCCAAAUCCAGAAGUCUCGAUGAUGAAGAAUUUGGUAAUGGAGUAGAUAAACCAACAGAUUCCGGAAUGUCUAGAUUGACCCUCAUGGACUGGUUUGCCAUGGCACGCUUCAUGUCAAACUCCUGAAAUUGCUUAACUUCAAGUUUAACUUUUUCAAUCAGUUCAAUGUGAUGAAUGGAUGAAUGUGCAUCUGAAAGUUUCUGUUGCAGUUCAUCAGACUUUUUCUUUCGAUAUUCCUCAUUCUCCAUUUCAUUUCCAACCUCACCUAACCCUCGGUAUAAAUCUGUCAGAACAGAUAGCACCCAUAUCUGAGUUGGGAUAUCAUAAAGCUUCUUUGCCAAUGUAAGGGAGGAUCUCAAAAUCUCUCUGGCUUGUACAGUAUCAUGCAGGGCAAGUGCCAGAUGCCCAAGUAUUGUUAAAUAUUGUGCAAUAAGUUGAAGGUUCCCCAUGCUAUUAUGUGCAAUCUGCAAUCCCUUGGCUAGCCGAGCUCGUGCUUCUUCAUACUCGUCCUGCCUCAUUAAUAAAAGGCCAUAAGCAAAAAGGACACUUGCUUGCUCUCGAACUCCAACAAAAGAAUCCUUCAUUCUGUAAAUUGGUCCAAUCAAAUCAAGUGCCUGUGAGAGUGAUUCAGCAUCACCAAUGCAGAAAUAAGAGACGGCCGCAUAAACUUGGCACAUAGCUUGCACUGAUUUGCUCUCUGUUAGUUUUGCUGCUUCAAUAUAGUGAAAAGCCGCUUCACUAUAACAGCCAACAGAAUGAGCAUAUUGGCCCCUGAGCAUCUCAAUGACACUCUCACAGGCCUGGAGAAUUGUUGGAAAGCGAAUGAACCAAUCUUUCAUUUGCACUAGUGCCCCUUGUGCUUCAACAAAUUCAGACCGUGUGAGCUCCAUUGCCACUUUGUUUUCAAGAAACUGCAUUAAUAGCAUUAAGUAGACGCCAGCCAUCCAAAUGGCAGAGUGCCGCAGAUCCACUUCUCUAACACCAUCAGUUAUUCCAAGCUUUACCAGCUCCACUUGAAUGGUUUGCAUUCCAGAUUGAAUGCGCUUGGCAC
rnacentral:misc_RNA from 1 species